UGACCUCGGAUCAGGUAGGAAUACCCGCUGAACUUAAGCAUAUCAAAAGGCGGAGGAAAGGC
rnacentral:rRNA from 1 species